GUGAAGUUUUGAUUUUUUCCUAGCCAAUGACAGUAUUUCCCGGGAAUAAAAUUAUUCUAUCAAAGAUGUUUCUAUCAACGUUUUUUUUAUGUUUCUAACAACACUUUUGAUGAUAGCGUAACGCUUAGCUAAUUGACGACAAGUAACGGACGUUAUUCUGCGCGUACAACACGUAUCAAUGACAGGUAAAGAAAUAUGGAAUCCUAACAUAAAUCAGUUCAUGAUAGUGAAGGCUUCGCUAAAUGGCUUCGAUGAAUUACUAAAAUCUGAUACACUGAAACAUAAAUACCUCUAUAGUCGUCUGCUACGAAGGUCAUCACUGGCAAAACAGUUUUUGUUUACCUCUGAAGAGAUCACCGCAGUGACCUUACUAUUAGCUCCUGUACUAUUCUAGCUUUAACUAUCGACGCAUACAUCGGCCUCGUGAAACGUCCUCGGCAGACUCGAACAACUUUGCAGCGGUCCUUCACGACGUCAAUAGCGGCCGCUGAGAGCGCCUGUCGACUAUUGAAAUUCGCAAAAAAUUAUCACGCAAGGCGGCAACGAUCACAGCAGCAGCAGCAGCAGUAGUAGCAGCAGCAGCAGGUGUCUCUUUGGUAUCGAACCCGUUAGGUAGAGAAAUGCUAGGCGCAUCUAGAGCUCUGUACAGAAGCAGGCCUCCCUACACGCUGUGCCAAAAAUUUCUAUCACCGAAACCUCGAAAAUUCUGGUGAAAUCGCCUUCGCUCGUCUCUCUCGACGGCGCUGCUAAUAUUAUUAUAGCAUUCUCUACCACCCACGAUGCCUUGCGUCAGUGAUGUUUCUUGGCCUACCGUUGACGUUUACGAUGCUAAAGAUACCACAUCAACAUCUGUACCCAGCUCGAAUUUUUAGGCAACGUGUUAGUUUUUCAUCAUAGAAAUGAGUGCGUUGAACGACGAUAAUCACUAGUUACCGACCAUGAAGGAACAUUCUGCGCUUGGUCAGUCCUCUGAGCCAGGCUCGUUGUAGAUAAGUACUAGAAUAAACAUCUCUAAGUCGGUAGGCUCUUUCGCUCGCCGUCCGCAUCGAGUCGUGUCCAUGAUUGACCAACCAGGUGGCGCCACUUAGUCGUCGAAAAGGGCCUCCUGGUUUUAGCUUUUGCCCGCCGAGCUGGUUCUUGACCGCAGCUGACAAGAGAUUGAGAGACCGUCACACGAGAUGUCAACAUCAAGGAAAACCCCGAAAACGUCAUUACAGUCAGUACCGUCGGUUUUCGAAAUUCGUCGCAGCACCAGCAACGACUACCUCCUAACUCUGUCGAUCCGCAAUUGUGCCGACUUAAAUCAGCGCUGGCUAAGUAAUUAUUUUUCUUCCCCUUCGCCUAUGUCAGAAAGAUCCGAAUUAUCGAGCAGAGAUAACAAAUAUAAAAAACGCUGUGACAAAAAGAGAGCGAAAUUUAACCCAGUAAAAUGCGACAUCUUAAUAAUAUACAACUCUGUGCGAGUACGCGCGGGUAGCCACAUUCAAUGCAGCUGUGCUAGACUAUGCUUCGAAGAUGACAGAAAUAGUGGGACUAAGCAAAUGUGGAAGAUUAAUGCGGCCGCAGGCAGACGCUUCUAUUGAGAUAGCAAUAUACGCCCAGGACAUGCAAUGCUAUCUUUUCCAUAAUUCAGCCAAAGGAGUCGGCUGGGCUUUGCGUACAGGGGCUAAACCGGAACUGUAUUCCUGCAAAUACACGUCUUGCUUGCGUGUACCCAGUGAACCAGCAGCAGUUGCCGUAAUGUUUGCUUUGCUAUACAGCAGAAACAAAUAGGUAAUUUGCUUGUAUUUCGUACCGAUGUUGUAUUUCGCUGGCGAUCGAAAGGAACUGAAGACCUCCAGAGACGCAGAUUGUCGUGAAGACCUCGGCUAUCGUAAGGUCUAAAUAUUAACAGCGACACCCGUCAUCCACAAUACACGCCCGCUGGCACGUGACAUCAAACCCACUUCGAAAGGAAAUAACACUUCAACAGUGUACAUGAGCAUAUUUCUUUUCUCUAAGCCUUAACUAUAUAUAUUUUUUCACUUUAUUACUUUUACAUAUAUAUAUAUAUAUAUAUGGUAUCUUCGACAAGGUGACCGAAAGUGCCCUUGUAGAACGCUUGCUAUAUUAGACAGAGUCAGCUUUGCCUACAAUAUCGCUCAUCAAUCGAUUUGUUUGUACCUGUGAUAUAACCACAAUUAAACAAUUCAUAAUAAUAGUAAGUGGUAAGCCUUCAUUGCUAAAGGAUCCAGUCUAAGGGGAAAACGAUACUGGAAAACUUCGCGUGCUCACAUCAUAGAAUAACAACAAUCUCAGACGAAUGUUACCAAUGAUGCUAUUCUUCUAUUGAUCUGGUUUCUGUUAACACAAACAUCUGGACAGUAAUGUAUGUCAAAGAAUCAGUCUAUCGUGGGUAUUAUAAGAGUGAUAACUUUGUGUUUCGGUCGUCGCAGUAUUAUACCAGAAGAACGAAUGACUUCUGAUUUUUGUCAUCUGUAGUCGACUUUAUUAUUACAAUUAUUGCUAUUAAUUAAUCUUAUCGUUACUACUCCCGUAGCGAUGCCGUGACACAAGAUUGUCUACAUCCUUCCCUAUUUUUCCUCCCUUCUUUCACACUUCGUCUAACGACAACAACAUGCCGACGUAGAGAAAAGCCGAACAUCUGUACCCCUAUUUCUACCAUUCGUUGGAACAGGUGGCGAAACGGUCUGUUUCUAACCGCACCACUAGCACUGCCAUUACCAUCAUUAACACCGAAAUGUCAUGGUACGCCAUUUCGGCCGCUAGGUUGUUCACAAAUCUGGAGACAAAGUUUUCUGAGAAAGCCCGAGAAAACCGAUCCGCGAGCAAGCCAGAUAAACAACCGAGACGUUCUGGUACUUUCAGAAUACAUUUACCUUUACUUAAUGUUCGUAACUGCUUUUCUGAUGGCAGCGUUGCGAAUAGUUCUUUUAUUUAGGGGCAAAAAUGUGUCGUACGAAUCGGGAAACUCCACCGACGACGAUCAGAGGCUAUGGAGGCAAUCCGGCUCUUGUGGUGACGGAAACCGUUGAUAUCAGCGGCCUUUCUUUUUACAGACGACUUUGUGCGUGAAGCUCCCACAACAGGUUGCAAGCGUUCGGGCGGCAAUAACGCUGUGGCUAUCGGAAAAACUAUAACGCAUACAGAGAUACGUCUGUGCCGUGCGCAAAUUUUGCUCAAAAUCAACAAAGAAAGUUCUCUGUCUUUUUCUUAGGCAAACGGGAAGAUCUCAAAUGAAAUAAUGACAAAGAAAUAAUUUUCUAGUUCGAAGCAAACUGUUUUAUGAUUUCCUAAUGCGUAGUGAAUCCCCUACCGAUCGUUUUAUAUAGGACAAUAUAUA